UUAUACGAUGAAGAGUUUGAUCCUGGCUCAGGAUGAACGCUAGCGGCAGGCCUAACACAUGCAAGUCGAGGGGUAGAGGGUGCUUGCACCCUUGAGACCGGCGCACGGGUGCGUAACGCGUAUGCAACCUACCUAUUGCAGGGGAAUAGCCCAGGGAAACUUGGAUUAAUGCCCCAUAGUCCAUAUUGAGAGCAUUUGAGAUAUGGUAAAGAUUUAUCGGCAAUAGAUGGGCAUGCGUCCCAUUAGCUAGUUGGUAUGGUAACGGCAUACCAAGGCUACGAUGGGUAGGGGCCCUGAGAGGGGGAUCCCCCACACUGGUACUGAGACACGGACCAGACUCCUACGGGAGGCAGCAGUGAGGAAUAUUGGACAAUGGGCGGGAGC
rnacentral:rRNA from 1 species